rnacentral:rRNA from 1 species
UGGGGAAUAUUGGACAAUGGGGGCAACCCUGAUCCAGCAACGCCGUGUGGGUGAUGAAGGUUUUCGGAUCGUAAAGCCCUGUCAGUUGGGAAUAAAUCGGUAAGCAUCAGAUCCUUAUCGUUGAAUGUACCGACAAAGGAAGCACCGGCUAACUCCGUGCCAGCAGCCGCGGUAAUACGGGGGGUGCAAGCGUUGUUCGAAAUUACUGGGCGUAAAGCGUACGUAGGCGGUUUGGUAAGUCCUGUGUGAAAUCCCCCGGCUUAACCGGGGAAAGUCAUGGGAUACUGCUAGACUAGAGUGUGAAAGGGGAGAGUGGAAUUCCCAGUGUAGUGGUGAAAUACGUAGAUAUUGGGAGGAACACCGGUGGCGAAAGCGACUCUCUGGUUCAUAACUGACGCUGAGGUACGAAAGCGUGGGGAGCAAACAGG